GACAGAGGGUGCAAACGUUGUUCGGAAUUACUGGGCGUAAAGCGCGUGUAGGCGGCUCGGCAAGUCGGGUGUGAAAGCCCUGGGCUUAGCCUAGGAAGUGCACUCGAAACUGCCAAGCUUGAGUUCUGGAGAGGAAGGCGGAAUUCUCGGUGUAGAGGUGAAAUUCGUAGAUAUCGAGAGGAACACCGGUGGCGAAGGCGGCCUUCUGGACAGCAACUGACGCUGAGACGCGAAAGCGUGGGGAGCAAACAGG
rnacentral:rRNA from 1 species